UGCCAGCCGCCGCGGUAAUACGGAGGGGGUUGGCGUUGUUCGGAAUUACUGGGCGUAAAGCGUACGUAGGCGGAUUGGAAAGUAUGGGGUGAAAUCCCAGGGCUCAACCCUGGAACUGCCUCAUAAACUAUCAGUCUAGAGUUCGAGAGAGGUGAGUGGAACUCCGAGUGUAGAGGUGAAAUUCGUAGAUAUUCGGAAGAACACCAGUGGCGAAGGCGGCUCACUGGCUCGAUACUGACGCUGAGGUACGAAAGCGUGGGGAGCAAACAGGAUUAGAUA
rnacentral:rRNA from 1 species